CAGCUGUAAACGAUGCAGACUAGGUGUUUGGACGGCCACGUGCCGUUCUAGUGCCGCAGGGAAGCUGUUAAGUCUGCCGCCUGGGGAGUACGAUCGCAAGAUUGAAACUUAAAGGAAUUGGCGGGGGAGCACCACAAGAGGUGGAGGCUGCGGUUCAAUUGGACUCAACGCCGGAAACUCAUCGGGAGCGACAGCAGUAUGAUUGCCAGGUUGAUGACCUUGCUUGACAAGCUGAGAGGAGGUGCAUGGCGUAGUCGUGU
rnacentral:rRNA from 1 species